rnacentral:rRNA from 1 species
AUUGAACGCUGGCGGCAGGCCUAACACUUGCAAGUCGAGCGAGCGGCGGACGGGUGAGUAAUGUAUGGGGACUGCCCGAUAGAGGGGGAUCACUACUGGAAACUGUCGCUAAUACCGCAUACUAUCGGAUAACCCAUAUGGGAUUAGCUAGUGGGGGGGGUAAAGGCUCACAUAGGCGACGAUCUCUAGCUGGUCUGAGAGGAUGAUCAGCCACCGUGGGAUGGAGACAAGGCCCAGACUCCUACGGAGGGAGCAGUGGGGAGUAUUGCGCAAUGAGCACAGGCCUGAUGCAGCCAUGCGGCGUGUAUGAAGAGGACCAUAGGGUUGUAAAGUACUUUCAGCGGGGAGGCGUUACCCGCAGAAGAAGCACCGGCUGACUCCGUGCCAGCAGCCGCGGUAAUUC